GGUUAGCGGCGGACGGGUGAGUAACACGUAGGCAACCUGCCCCCAAGAUCGGGAUAACAUUCGGAAACGAAUGCUAAGACCGGAUACACGGUUUGGUCGCAUGAUCGGAUCGGGAAACACGGAGCAAUCUGUGGCUUGAGGAUGGGCCUGCGGCGCAUUAGCUAGUUGGUGGGGUAACGGCUCACCAAGGCGACGAUGCGUAGCCGACCUGAGAGGGUGAACGGCCACACUGGGACUGAGACACGGCCCAGACUCCUACGGGAGGCAGCAGUAGGGAAUCUUCCACAAUGGGCGAAAGCCUGAUGGAGCAACGCCGCGUGAGUGAGGAAGGCUUUCGGGUCGUAAAGCUCUGUUGCCAGGGAAGAAUAAGGAUCAUUUAACUGAUGAUNCGAUGACGGUACCUGAGAAGAAAGCCCCGGCUAACUACGUGCCAGCAGCCGCGGUAAUACGU
rnacentral:rRNA from 1 species